GACGAACGCUGGCGGCGUGCUUAACACAUGCAAGUCGAACGGAAAGGCCCUGCUUGCAGGGUACUCGAGUGGCGAACGGGUGAGUAACACGUGGGUGAUCUGCCCUGCACUUCGGGAUAAGCCUGGGAAACUGGGUCUAAUACCGGAUAGGGGCCAUUUUUAGUGUGAUGGUUGGAAAGUUUUUUCGGUGUAGGAUGAGCUCGCGGCCUAUCAGCUUGUUGGUGGGGUAAUGGCCUACCAAGGCGGCGACGGGUAGCCGGCCUGAGAGGGUGGACGGCCACAUUGGGACUGAGAUACGGCCCAGACUCCUACGGGAGGCAGCAGUGGGGAAUAUUGCACAAUGGGCGCAAGCCUGAUGCAGCGACGCCGCGUGGGGGAUGACGGCCUUCGGGUUGUAAACUCCUUUCGCUAGGGACGAAGCUUUUUGUGACGGUACCUAGAUAAGAAGCACCGGCUAACUACGUG
rnacentral:rRNA from 1 species